UACAGAGGUCUCAAGCGUUGUUCGGAUUCAUUGGGCGUAAAGGGUGCGUAGGCGGCGCGGUAAGUCGGGUGUGAAAUCUCGGAGCUUAACUCCGAAACUGCAUUCGAUACUGCCGUGCUUGAGGACUGGAGAGGAGACUGGAAUUUACGGUGUAGCGGUGAGAUGCGUAGAUAUCGUAAGGAACACCAAUGGCGAAGGCAGCCUUCUGGGCCAACACUGACGCUCAUGCACGAAAGCGUGGGGAGCAAACAGG
rnacentral:rRNA from 1 species